UGAUGAGAGCGGUGGGUGGACUGUCUCUGAAUUUCCACUUCUUUUGCUUGCUUUGCUGA
rnacentral:sRNA from 1 species